rnacentral:lncRNA from 1 species
GGCAGGUCACCAGCAUUUCUCAUGCCCUCUGACUUCUCCAAGUAGAAGAGAAUAAAUUCCAGGGCCCAAGAAUCCUCUACCUACGGCUGGCAGAUGAAGAAAAGAAAUCGGAGGAGGCACACUGUCUACAGGCGGAGAACCGGACGGUGGCCCCCCACAAACCCACUGGGACUCCUGGUGCUAGCACCUCCGGUUUGACAGCCUGAUGCUCAUUUCCUCCGUCUCUGACCCUGUCAUGGAAUCUAACUCAGGCUGCCGAUGUUUCUUACUGCUCUCACUUCCUGUUUGCUACUCAGUAUUGUACCACAUCCUGAUUUCUAUGUUUUCACCUCAGCCUCGUAACCUAAAAAUAACUUUUCUCUGAUGCCCUCCUGGCUUUCUAGGGUUUAAAGUUCUGCCCCACACUCUGACUAAAUAAGUGCACUGCAGCUCCCCAUCAGGAGUAAUGCAUUGAAAUGGAGUAACAGAAAUGAAACACAACAUUCUCCUUUUGUAAAACAGAGCCGUAGGAAUGCUUCCUGGUAUCUAAUACAUUUGGUCGGUCAUGAUAUCACACAGCCGUAUUUCAUAAAAGCCUUUUAUCCAUACCUUUUAGUUAGUGCAUUGACAACAAAAUUUGGUUUAUCCCCCCUACUAUAUUUGUUUAAUCUUUUUUGUCCCCUAUCUACCUUGUAUUGACCAUUACUAA